AGUCGAACGGCAGCACGGGAGCAAUCCUGGUGGCGAGUGGCGAACGGGUGAGUAAUAUAUCGGAACGUGCCCAAUCGUGGGGGAUAACGCAGCGAAAGCUGUGCUAAUACCGCAUACGAUCUACGGAUGAAAGCGGGGGACUCAGCAAUGGGCCUCGCGCGAAUGGAGCGGCCGAUAUCAGAUUAGCUAGUUGGUGGGGUAAAGGCUCACCAAGGCGACGAUCUGUAGCUGGUCUGAGAGGACGACCAGCCACACUGGAACUGAGACACGGUCCAGACUCCUACGGGAGGCAGCAGUGGGGAAUUUUGGACAAUGGGCGCAAGCCUGAUCCAGCAAUGCCGCGUGCAGGAUGAAGGCCUUCGGGUUGUAAACUGCUUUUGUACGGAACGAAAAGACUCCUUCUAAUAAAGGGGGUUCAUGACGGUACCGUAAGAAUAAGCACCGGCUAACUACGUGCCAGCAGCCGCGGUAAU
rnacentral:rRNA from 1 species